CUAUGCUUAGGCAAUAGGUCGCUGGCCAC
rnacentral:piRNA from 1 species